rnacentral:lncRNA from 1 species
GCUGGGGCAGACAUGAUGCGUCCCGACUUCUGCCUUGUAGACCAGGAGCAGAACAAAAUGGGCCUCAUGACCAGCCAUUGGGCGUCUUGGCCACAGCACCCACGGAAAGAUGUGUCAGGGUCCAGCUCUUCCUGGGAAGCCCCUCCGAAUGCUCCCGGCCAGCCUGUUUCUCUGGGAUGAGGCCCCAGCAAGGCAGAUCGCAGCCUGCAGCCGGGAGGAACUGCUAAUAUAUGGCAAGAGUCUGGAAACCAGAUUCCAAAAGGUCACGUUGGACUGGAACCAACAAGAUUACGUUGAACAGGCUGGAUGUGAACCUCCACUUUCAGAGAUUCCUGCUCCCAGCCCAGGC